CUAMCAAGGAUUCCCCUAGUAACUGCGAGUGAAGCGGGAAAAGCUCAAAUUUAAAAUCUGGCGGUCUUUGGCCGUCCGAGUUGUAAUCUAGAGAAGCGUUUUCCGUGCCGGACCGUGUACAAGUCUCUUGGAACAGAGCAUCAUAGAGGGUGAGAAUCCCGUCUUUGACACGGACUGCCGGUGCUUUGUGAUGCGCUCUCAAAGAGUCGCGUUGUUUGGGAAUGCAGCGCAAAAUGGGUGGUAAAUUCCAUCUAAAGCUAAAUAUUGGCGAGAGACCGAUAGCGAACAAGUACCGUGAGGGAAAGAUGAAAAGCACUUUGGAAAGAGAGUUAAACAGUACGUGAAAUUGUUGAAAGGGAAACGCUUGAAGUCAGUCGCGUCUGGCGGAACUCAGCCUUGCUUUUGCUUGGUGCAUUUUCCGUUUGACGGGCCAGCAUCGAUUUCGGCCGCCGGAUAAAGUGCAAGGGAAUGUGGCACCUUCGGGUGUGUUAUAGCCUUUGUUCGCAUACGGCGGCUGGGAUCGAGGACCGCAGCACGCCUUUUGGCCGGGGUUCGCCCACGUACGUGCUUAGGAUGCUGGCGUAAUGGCUUUAAACGACCCGUCUUGAAACACGGACCAAGGAGUCUAACAUGCCCGCGAGUGUUUGGGUGGAAAACCCAUGCGCGUAAUGAAAGUAAUAGUUGAGACCCCUGUCGUGGGGGGCAUCGACGCCCGGUCUUGAGCUUCGGCGACGGAUCUGCGGUAGAGCGUGUAUGUUGGGACCCGAAAGAUGGUGAACUAUGCCUGAAUAGGGUGAAGCCAGAGGAAACUCUGGUGGAGGCUCGUAGCGAUUCUGACGUGCAAAUCGAUCGUCAAAUU
rnacentral:rRNA from 1 species